rnacentral:rRNA from 1 species
AGGACGAACGCUGGCGGCGUGCUUAACACAUGCAAGUCACGGGGGGUAGCAAUACCAACCGGCGAACGGGUGCGUAACACGUGAGCAACCUACCGAUUUGUGGGGGAUAGCCGGCCUAACGGCCGGGUAAUACCGCAUACGCUUGUAAGGCCUCCUGGUCUAACAAGGAAACCUCCGGGGCAAAUCGAGGGGCUCGCGGCCUAUCAGCUAGUUGGCGAGGUCACGGCUCACCAAGGCGACGACGGGUAGCU